rnacentral:tRNA from 1 species
CGACGGCGUAGUCGAGAUUCCACCGCCACGCCUGCUGGCACCAGGCGCUCGCGAAGCUCGCCUUGUAGCAGGGUUCGGCGCCGCCGCCGUCGUC